rnacentral:rRNA from 1 species
UGAGCGGAGAUUAUGGAGCUUGCUUUAUAUAACUUAGCAGCGAACGGGUGAGUAACACGUAGAUAAUCUAUCCUAUACUGGGGGAUAGCCCGAUGAAAGUUGGAUUAAUACCGCAUAUAGCUAUAUAGUUGCAUGAUUAUGUAGUGAAAGAUUUAUUGGUAUAGGAGGAGUCUGCGGCACAUUAGCUAGUAGGUGAGGUAAAGGCUUACCUAGGCGACGAUGUGUAGCCGGUCUGAGAGGAUGAACGGCCACAAUGGAACUGAGACACGGUCCAUACUCCUACGGGAGGCAGCAGUGGGGAAUAUUGCACAAUGGGGGAAACCCUGAUGCAGCAACGCCGCGUGAGUGAAGAAGGUUUUCGGAUUGUAAAGCUCUGUUAGCAGGGAAGAGGAAGGACGGUACCUGCAGAGGAAGCCACGGCUAACUACGUGCCAGUAGCCGCGGUAAUACGUAGGUGGCAAGCGUUGUUCGGAAUAACUGGGCGUAAAGGAUGCGUAGGCGGUUAAACAAGUUAUAUGUUAAAUAUAUAGGCUUAACCUGUAGAAAGCAUAUAAAACUGUUUAACUAGAGUGCAGGAGAGGUAAGUGGAAUUCCUAGUGUAGCGGUGAAAUGCGUAGAGAUUAGGAAGAACACCAGUGGCGAAGGCGACUUACUGGACUGUAACUGACGCUGAGGCAUGAGAGCAUGGGGAGCAAACAGGAUUAGAUACCCUGGUAGUCCAUGCUGUAAACGAUGGGUACUAGGUGUGGGUUGUGAAUAACAAUUCGUGCCGUCGCAAACGCAAUAAGUACCCCG